UACGUAGGGGGCAAGCGUUGUCCGGAUUUAUUGGGCGUAAAGAGCGUGUAGGCGGCCAGGUAGGUCUGCUGUGAAAACUCGAGGCUCAACCUCGAGACGUCGGCGGAAACCAUCUGGCUAGAGUCCGGAAGAGGAGAGUGGAAUUCCUGGUGUAGCGGUGAAAUGCGUAGAUAUCGAGAGGAACACCUGCGGCGAAGGCGGGUUGCUGGGCUGACACUGACGCUGACAGCGCGAAAGCUAGGGGAGCGAACGGG
rnacentral:rRNA from 1 species